rnacentral:rRNA from 1 species
UGACCAGCGGAGGGAUCAUUACCGAGUUUACAACUCCCAAACCCCUGUGAACAUACCUUAAUGUUGCCUCGGCGGAUCAGCCCGCGCCCCGUAAAACGGGACGGCCCGCCAGAGGACCCAAACUCUAAUGUUUCUUAUUGUAACUUCUGAGUAAAACAAACAAAUAAAUCAAAACUUUCAACAACGGAUCUCUUGGUUCUGGCAUCGAUGAAGAACGCAGCAAAAUGCGAUAAGUAAUGUGAAUUGCAGAAUUCAGUGAAUCAUCGAAUCUUUGAACGCACAUUGCGCCCGCUGGUAUUCCGGCGGGCAUGCCUGUUCGAGCGUCAUUUCAACCCUCAAGCCCCCGGGUUUGGUGUUGGGGAUCGGCUCUGCCUUCUGGCGGUGCCGCCCCCGAAAUACAUUGGCGGUCUCGCUGCAGCCUCCAUUGCGUAGUAGCUAACACCUCGCAACUGGAACGCGGCGCGGCCAUGCCGUAAAACCCCAACUUCUGAAUGUUGACCUCGGAUCAGGUAGGAAUACCCGCUGAACUUAAGCAUAUCAAUAAGCGGAGGAAAAGAAACCAACAGGGAUUGCCCUAGUAACGGCGAGUGAAGCGGCAACAGCUCAAAUUUGAAAUCUGGCUUUCGGGCCCGAGUUGUAAUUUGUAGAGGAUACUUUUGAUGCGGUGCCUUCCGAGUUCCCUGGAACGGGACGCCAUAGAGGGUGAGAGCCCCGUCUGGUUGGAUGCCAAAUCUCUGUAAAGUUCCUUCGACGAGUCGAGUAGUUUGGGAAUGCUGCUCUAAAUGGGAGGUAUAUGUCUUCUAAAGCUAAAUAUUGGCCAGAGACCGAUAGCGCACAAGUAGAGUGAUCGAAAGAUGAAAAGCACUUUGAAAAGAGAGUUAAAAAGUACGUGAAAUUGUUGAAAGGGAAGCGUUUAUGACCAGACUUGGACUUGGUUAAUCAUCUGGGGUUCUCCCCAGUGCACUUUUCCAGUUCAGGCCAGCAUCAGUUUUCGCCGGGGGAUAAAGGCAGUGGGAAUGUAGCUCUCUUCGGGGAGUGUUAUAGCCCAUUGUGUAAUACCCUGGUGGAGACUGAGGUUCGCGCUUCUGC